UGUGUGUUGUUGGGCGGAGGGGAGAGGAGGCAGCGCCUGAGGACUUUCUGCAAAAGGGACUCAGCACAGCUGUUCCUUGCCAGCAAAUCUGUCUUUCUGGGUGACUUCUGCAGCGCAGCUCACUUCAGUUGCCUUUGCUAAGGAGGUCAUAGAUCUUUACGGAAGAAUCCAGCAGAGGAGGAAGGCGAUCCACUGGUCCAGGUGGAGGCUGUCCGGAGAGGAAAGGAGGAUGAGGGGAGAGCCGGAAUCAGUAGGUCCAGAAGCAAGGAAAGGCCCCGGUGCCACCGAGGCUGGGAGCAGAAGAGAACUGUGGGAAGGAACCAUGUGGAAGAGCCUGGGAGAGGAUUCCCCCCCUUCAGAUGGGCAGCGCCAGCAAUUCAGGCACUUCUGCUACCAGGAGGCCGAAGGGCCCCGAGAGGCUUGCAGCCGACUGCACCAUCUUUGCCACCAGUGGCUGAAGCCAGAAAGGCACAGCAAGAAGGAGAUCCUGGACUUGGUGGUCUUGGAGCAAUUCCUGGCCAUCCUGCCCCCGGAGAUGGAGAGCUGGGUCAGGGAAUGCGGGCCGGAGACCAGUUCCCAGGCGGUGGCCCUGGCAGAAGGCUUCCUCCUGAGCCAGGCAGGUGCCAA